UCGCCUACGGGACGCAGCAGUAGGGAAUUUUCGUCAAUGGGCGCAAGCCUGAACGAGCGAUGCCGCGUGAGUGAAGAAGGCCUUCGGGUCGUAAACCUCUGUUGCGGGGGAAAAAAGGCAGCAUCAGGAAAUGGGAGCUGACUGAUGGUGCCCCGCAAGAAAGUCACGGCUAACUACGUGCCAGCAGCCGCGGUAAUACGUAGGUGGCGAGCGUUAUCCGGAAUGAUUGGGCGUAAAGGGUGCGCAGGCGGUCCUGCAAGUCUGGAGGGAAACGCAUGA
rnacentral:rRNA from 1 species